CCUGCCCCUAGAAGCACUGCAGGCGUGCUGCUGUGUCACCUGUGCAUCAGUAGAUGGCAGAGAGGAGAGAGGCUAUGUCUACUCUCAAAGCUCUGACCUAUGAACAACUAAAUAUUUAGUAGCCUAACAUU
ensembl:snoRNA